UGGGGAAUAUUGCGCAAUGGGGGGAACCCUGACGCAGCAACGCCGCGUGAGUGAAGAAGGCCUUCGGGUCGUAAAACUCUGUCAUAGGGGAAGAAUAGAUGACGGUACCCUAUGAGGAAGCCCCGGCUAACUACGUGCCAGCAGCCGCGGUAAUACGUAGGGGGCGAGCGUUGUCCGGAAUCACUGGGCGUAAAGGGUGCGUAGGCGGCAUAAUAAGUCAGAUGUGAAAUCCCAGGGCUUAACCCUGGAGUUGCAUUUGAAACUGUGAUGCUUGAGUGCAGGAGAGGGAAGCGGAAUUCCUAGUGUAGCGGUGAAAUGCGUAGAGAUUAGGAGGAACACCAGUGGCGAAGGCGGCUUUCUGGACUGUAACUGACGCUGAGGCACGAAAGCGUGGGGAGCGAACAGG
rnacentral:rRNA from 1 species